CAGCAGUGAGGAUAUGACAAUGGGGCAACCUGUAUCCCAGCAGCAUGCCGCGUGUGUGAAGAAGGCCUUUCGGGUUGUAAAGCACUUUUGUCCGGGAAAGAAAACGUCGUGGCUAAUACCCGUGGCGGAUGACGGUACCGGAAGAAUAAGCACCGGCUAACUACGUGCCAGCAGCCGCGGUAAUACGUAGGGUGCAAGCGUUAAUCGGAAUUACUGGGCGUAAAGCGUGCGCAGGCGGUUCGCUAAGACAGAUGUGAAAUCCCCGGGCUUAACCUGGGAACUGCAUUUGUGACUGGCGGGCUAGAGUAUGGCAGAGGGGGGUAGAAUUCCACGUGUAGCAGUGAAAUGCGUAGAGAUGUGGAGGAAUACCGAUGGCGAAGGCAGCCCCCUGGGCCAAUACUGACGCUCAUGCACGAAAGCGUGGGGAGCAAACAGGAUUAGAUACCCUGGUAGUCCACGCCCUAAACGAUGUCAACUGGUUGUCGGGCCUUCAUUGGCUUGGUAACGUAGCUAACGCGUGAAGUUGACCGCCUGGGGAGUACGGUCGCAAGAUUAAAACUCAAAGGAAUUGACGGGGACCCGCACAAGCGGUGGAUGAUGUGGAUUAAUUCGAUGCAACGCGAAAAACCUUACCUACCCUUGACAUGUACGGAACCCUGCUGAGAGGUGGGGGUGCCCGAAAGGGAGCCGUAACACAGUGCUGCAUGGCUGUCGUACAGCUCGUGUCGUGAGAUGU
rnacentral:rRNA from 1 species